rnacentral:tRNA from 1 species
GCCGAGGUGGCGAAAUGGCAGACGCGCCAGCCUUAGGAGCUGGUGGGCGCAAGCCCGUGCAGGUUCAAGUCCUGUCCUCGGCA